GUUAUCUUUGCUAAUAGAUGUGUGCCACUCCUGCUGACUUUGAGAAGACUAGUAACUUGUGACACCUCGUUUGAUCCUGUUUGGUAAAUAUAUGAAAUUUGACAUUUUUUACUAAACAAGGCCCACACUCCAGGCUGACACAACCUUUUACUAUCUUUCUUUCUUUCUUAUUCUUUAUGCCAUUCCAGCAUCUUUGGCUAUAUUCAUGGUGAGAACUGGUUAAUCCAUACACAAGUUUUUAUUCACACAAGUCAAUCCAGACACUGGUUGGGGUAGAGACAAUUUGGCAUCUAUGGGUACCCAGAGUAAACCCACGCUGACACAGGGAGAACAUGCAAACUCCACAAAAAAAGGCCACCUGACCUAGCCGGGGCUCGAACCGGGGACCUUUUUGCUGUGCCUAUUACUAUCAGGAGAGCAUCAAGCUUUAUGUGCCUCAUUCUGGAGGACACUGUAUUUGAGAACACUGAAACUGAGAACACUUUUAAUAUCAGACUUUACACGGACACUAAAUGAAUUUGUGAUUUUCAGUUUACCUUUAGAAACAUUAGUGGCCCUCAAUUACUAUACAUUUAAUUGUACCAUGACAAUGGCCUCUGAAAAUAACAUACUGUUAGGUUGAAGGACAUGGCACUUUGUGUCUUUGCCAGUGCUUGCAUAUUCUUCUCACUGCCUUUUCUACACUUAGCUCUCCAGAUAUUAAGGAUUAUACAUUAAUCUAUACAUUCAUUUGGUCCAGGUGAUUCUCAGGGACAAUGGAUUAAACAAUGGAUGAUCAGCCUGAAAGCCAAAAGGGUGUUCAGCCAACGUGUCUCACUGGACUUGCUGCAUUGUUUUCUUUGUAUUACAUCUUCAACUUGCAAAAAGUGAAAGCAGCAUCCACACUGGAAGUCCUUCAAAGACGCUUCAUUAAAAUCAAACCGGGAAACAAGGGUGCAAAGGGAAAAGUGACCUCUAAAACAGGAAAACUGCAAAAGAAGACCAUCAACAGUCAGUCUCAAAAUAUCAAAUCUUUUAAAAAAGACUUUUGGACUUUGAGUGGUACUUCAUUUAAAAUGUAGCUGACACUUCCCACCAAUACAGUUUUUUUUUAAAUAUGGUGGGCUGCAGUGAUGGCAGGUGACUUCUCCGAGGAGGCACGAAUGCAAAGCUAGCCAAAACAUUGUCAUGUGUGGCUCGUCACUUCAAAAUGUGUGUUUGGCGCGUCAUGUGAACAUGUGCAUAGCGUGUCAUGUCAAAAUACGUGCCUGCUCCAGACACUUUGAAGGGGAUUAUGAUAAAAGAGAUGCUCGCUUUUGCCAUACUAGCUUAAUCUCAUGUGUAAUCAGAGUUUAGUGUUAAAUGAGUGUCUUGCGGGUAUCAUGUGAAUGUCUCUUUUUUUCUUUAUCAUAUUUAAAGCGUUUGCGGGAGGCACGUAUUUUGACAUGAUGUGCAAUGCAUAUAGAUUCACAUUACACCCCGAACACAUAUUUUGCAUCCUGGCCACCACUGGUGGGUGGUGUUUUUUUAUACUGGUUUGUAUAUUAUAGACCAUGUUUUCAUAUUUAAAAUUGGGCUGGUGUCUGUUAAAGAAUAAGCAAAUUAAUGUUUUAUUGAAUCCUUUUAAAAAUGUGCUGUUUUUACAGUUGUUAAACUUUUGUGCUUUUUUUGAAAUCUAAAUUUUAAACUACAUUUGUAUUUUAAGUAAAGAUAAGGCAUCUCAAUAUUUUUCUUUGUUUGUUUGAUUUUUUUUGUAUUUUAGUAUGUUAUUGGUGCGUUUUUGUUGCACCACAGUUUAUGCACUGAAUAUUAAAAUAUAUCUGCUUGUAUUUCUGCCUGUUUUAUGGCAUAACAAACAUAGCAUAACAGUCAAUCUGGUGUUGAAUAGAAUAAAGAAUAAAAAAUUCAUAACCUGGCCUUUUUUGUUCUAUGUUAUCCACUUUGACAAAUAUAAAAUGCAGGGUAUAAUAGCAUUUAAAUUAAAAAAUAAUGGAGUUGUGACUAAUAUGUACUGUAAAUUAACAGGUAUAUGAUGCUAAAUAACAGUUUUAUGCUGUAGAUAACAAAAACAGUAUCAUGCUAUUAAAUAACAGCUGUAUUCUGUAGGUGACACAAACAGUACCAUGCCGUUAAAAUAACAGUUGACUGCUGUAGGUAACAAAACAGUAUCAUGCUGUUUUUUCUAAUAACAGUAUCCCGCUGUAAAUUAACAGUGCAAUGCUGGCAACCACAGCUUCCAGCAUAAUACCGUUUUUUUACAGGGAAAUUUUUUACAGUGUACCU